ensembl:ncRNA lncRNA:CR45915 long non-coding RNA:CR45915
CCCCUGCCUCUCAGAGAGCGAGAGAGAGAGAGAGAGAGAUAGAGAGAGCGAACGAGAGAAAGGGCUCUCCAAUGUGUACACACACAAGGGGUAGCAAGGACUUUGGAAGCAAAUAAAGAGUAAUAUAAGGGUGAAGGACCAGGCAGCCAAAAGGCAGCUGGGACACAGUCGCGCUUGCCUCUGUGAUCAUCCAGCUGAAGCUCGCUGCGAAGUGCUCCACUUUUCAGCACCUUUGCCAAAUUAUCGCCGUCUUGCCAAAUCGAAGUCCGCAAAAUAUAUUACAUCACCCCAGCCCAACAGCACCCACGAAUCAGAAAUGCUAAUUGAUUUCACGUGGCCAGAAGCAAAAGUUAACGCGAAAUCGUCAGGAAAUACAUCUUCACGACGGCCUCCCAAAACUCGCUAAUGCAGUGCAAAUAUCGAACAUU